rnacentral:tRNA from 1 species
GCCUGGCUAGUUUAAUCGGUAGGGCAUGUGACUCUUAAUCUCAGGGUUGUGAGUUUGAGGCCCAUGUUGGGUA